UUCCAGACUCCUACGGGAGGCAGCAGUGAGGAAUAUUGGUCAAUGGGCUUACGCCUGAACCAGCCAAGUCGCGUGAGGGAAGACUGCCCUAUGGGUUGUAAACCUCUUUUGUCAGGGAGCAACGCCGGCUACGUGUAGCCGGACUGAGAGUACCUGAAGAAAAAGCAUCGGCUAACUCCGUGCCAGCAGCCGCGGUAAUACGGAGGAUGCGAGCGUUAUCCGGAUUUAUUGGGUUUAAAGGGUGCGUAGGCGGAGUGCCAAGUCAGCGGUAAAAUCGGGGGGCUCAACCUCGCUCCGCCGUUGAAACUGGCGUUCUUGAGUGCGGCGGAGGCAUGCGGAAUGCGCGGUGUAGCGGUGAAAUGCAUAGAUAUCGCGCAGCACCCCGAUUGCGAAGGCAGCAUACCGGCGCCCAACUGACGCUCAGGCACGAAAGCGUGGGUAUCGAACAGGAUUAGAUACCCCAGUA
rnacentral:rRNA from 1 species